CUUUAAUUGCAUUUGAAUUCCUGUUCACACUAUGUGAAGCCUUCUGACUUUUGCCACUCAUCCAAUUGUCCCCAACCCAAGUCAUAAAUGUAUAAAUAUAUGAUCCCACCAGUUUACUUUCCUCAUAAAAUCUUUUGCCAGAAACAGAGUCCUCUGUUUUCUGCUUUCCUCCUCUGUUUUUUGCUCUGCUUCUAAACAGAACUUCUGUCCUCGGCUUGUAAACCAGACCUUUUGUUUAGCUUCAAUUACCUCCACACAGUACAAACCAUGGAAGCUGAACAAAGCCCAAAGAAGCCUCAGAAGCCAGAGACAAGGAUUCCACCACCUAGAGGUCAAGUUAAAGCCAAGAUUUUUAGAGAGUUGGGGUCUAAAGUAAAGGCUGCAGCAGAAUCAGUGGUAACUGGGCUGGGAGGGUGCUGUGGAAGCUGAGGCUACAUGUUUGAGGGGCAUUCAGAUACUUGACCCUGAUGAAGUAAUGUUUUUUACUUUUUUUUCUUCCUAUGCAGAUACAGAGUUGAAACCAAACGGAUUAUUUGGGUCAUGGGCAUGGCAUUUUAGUUGAAAUGGGAAAUUGCUUAGUUAGGAUAUGUCUAUAUUUACAUGCAAGUUUCAGGCCAUUACAUAGCAAUGACAGUAUGGAUUUUGCAAAUUCUGCUUCUGGGUUUGGUUCUCUUAUUUAUCUGUUAUGCUUAGUUAGCUUCCAUUUCUUCCAAGUUUAGGAAGCUGGGGGCAAGUGCAUGAACGGAUGAGUCACAAAGCAGAAAUUGUAGCUCGUGGGUUCUUGUUUUUUAUUUGAUGGGAUUCAUGGAGGAAAUUAAAAUUAAUAGAUAUGUUCUUCAUUUUUAGUUGAAAAAGAAAUGAAAAGACAGCAGCAGCAGCAGCACUAUCAAGUAUCAAUGCUUAAAAUACAUGAGUGUAGAAGAACCUGAUUCUCUUCCAAACUCAAACCUGUAUUGUUAACUGUGUUGUUGUUGGCCUCUGGCCCAAGUCAUCUUCGAAUUAAAAGUUCCCAAUUUGAUUUGUUCAGUGUAACAGCUGUGCAUGUUUCCUUUCCUUUGGUUUUAUUAACUUUAAAUACUGUCUAAUUUGAUUACUUAAUUGAUAUUUGAUACUGGUGAGAGAGAGAGAGAGAGAGUUGCUAAUAAAACAACAUUAUCUGUCAGAUAUGCAUUUGGUGUUUAGUUAAAGCAAUUAACCUCGUAUAGUAAUGCUAAACAUACAUUUAUUUAUUUUAAUAUUUGUAUUUGGUUUUUUUUUUAAUAGGAAUAUUUGUAUUUGGUUGAACAUGUCUGUUUGUCUGUUCUUCUCAUGCAUUCACACUACGUGGAGCUUAUGUGAGACACUUGGCUUACAUGCUUUGCUUGUCAGGCCAACUCUUCUUCUUCGUCUCCAGUGACUAAAUAAUAAUAUAUACACAAAUCCUUCAAUACUAUAUCCACACACACCCUAGAAGCCAGAAAAAGAAAAAUGGAAGACAGAAGUAGAUAUAAGCCGAUGCACAAAGAAGCAGCCACCCUUCCACCAAGGAGAGGCAAAAUCAAAGCUAAAAUAUAUGGGACAUCAAAGAGACUGUCAUCAAUCUGAUAGGAAUGGCAAAUCAAAGUGAUAAUGGGGGACAAAGCUCAUCAGCUUCAGCAAAUCAGCCAGAUGAUCAGAACAAAAAGGCUUGAAAAGCAAAGCAUUUGUGUUCAUUAGGUGAUGGAAUCUAUGUGUGGAUCCAAGACCAACCCCACCCUCUCUCUUCUUCCCCAGUUAAUUCCUUUAUAUUCAGCAUUCAGGCAAUUUUAUAUAUGUUGUUCACAACUGCAUGUGCAUGAGUGAUAAAGACUUUUUUGACAAAAUUGCCCAACUAAUAAUUGCUUCCUCCACCAAAUACACAUAAAGUGCACACUUCCAGUUCAGCUCACUUCACCACCACUGCCCUGCAGCUUCUCCUCUUCUUCUUCUUCUUCUUCUUUUCCUAAAAAAUCAGCUGAGAAAUGGAAAACAAAAGCACCAAGCCAGUGAAGAAAGGAAAAGAAUCAAAAUCCAUGGCCAAUAUCCCACCAAAAAGAGGUCAGAUCAAAGCUAGAAUAUUUGAGGAACUGGUAGAGACUCUGAGCAACAUAGCAGGAGGAGCAGGAGCAAAGUGUGUUACCAAUUUUGGGGAAAACCCAGGUUCAUCAAGUGGCUACUCUUUUGAUGAGAAACACUAGAAGACUAGCAGUAUUUGGGAAAGGGCAGGAGAGGCCUUCAGUACUGGCCAAUUUGCCUUUAGCUAUGAGGAUGAGACUGAUGAUGAGAGAAAAGGGUAGGGUUUUUCUUUGUUUUCUUGUUUGUUCGAGGGUUUGAAGCAAGCAUGAAAUCCAAUUUGUUUCUGCAAAUUAGUGAAUUCUA